UGGUCAGUUGGGCGGCCUGCUCCUUCUAUGACGUCAGUGUGAAGCGCGUGGUGUGACAGUAGAGGAAGGAGCGCUGGAUGGAGGAGAGGCAGUAGAUGCUGGAAGAGCCAAAAGGAGGAGGGUGAAGCUGGACCUGGACGGAAAACAGCAUCCACUGAAAACUCGACCAUGUACCACGGGCCAGAACGAAAACCACGAAAGACAUGGCGUGAAAUAAAUUCAACCGGAGCUGAGGACUCUUUUUUUAUAUCUGACUCAGAUCACACCAGCAUCAUGUUGUUUUGCACAAGAGUGUGAGAGGAGGCCUGUUUUUAUCUUUGGUUAUCUAGCUGUAUGAGUAUCAAAUAUCUGUCAUAAAGCUAGAUAACCGAAAGUAGAAAUGGCUUCCGUAACACAGACUUGACUCCCGGUUCAUUUCAACUGUCAUCUCAGAGAGGUUUUCAAUUACCAGCACGGAAGGGUUGGUGUUUCCCUGAAAAGAGGCUUUAACCACGAUUAAAAGACAACAAGAAGCGGGGGGAGGAAAAAAAGGAAAACACAGUCACUCCAAAACUGCCUUCUUCCUCCUCUUCUUCAUCCCCGUUUUUACCCCGUAGCCUCUAAUGCCAUCUGUACUGCCAACGGGGAACAAUUUGCCUGUGCCAGGAGGUCGGAGGACAACGCGGCCACGUCCCCCGAGCAUGGGCACAUUUGAAGAAGCCAUCUUGGGAGAUGCUGCCGUGAUACCUAAAAUGGCUGGGCUGGCACACAAGGACGGUGAGACCCUCUGAACUCUGCAGGACGCUACGUCUUAAAGAGAGGAAGCUGUGAGCCGACGUCAAAGAAACUCUGUCAUCACUAUUGUUUACUCCCUGCAUCGUUAGUCAGCUAAACAGUGACCUGUAGACACAUGUAGGGGAAAUAUAAUAAAUAUAUUGUAUGUGUUUUCAUUUCAGUGAUUUUCAUGUGUGGCUCCUAAACCUUACAUUUACUCAUGUUAAUAAAACCUACUUGAAAUAAAAAUCGUAUAUAUGUGUAUUUGUGAUGUCUUAUUAUUAUAUAGGUAUAUAUG